CUGGAUAUCUUUGGGUUUGAGAACUUUGUGGUGAAUCGUUUUGAGCAGCUCUGCAUAAACUUGGCCAAUGAGCAGCUACAGCACUUCUUCAAUUAUCAUAUUUUCCAACUGGAGCAGGCUGCGUACCAGGAGGAAGGGCUGCCCUGGGAGGCAAUUACAUUCAACAAUAACAAACCCAUUUUGGACCUGUUCCUGGCCAAGCCGCUGGGGCUGCUGUCUCUCCUGGAUGAGCAGAGCGCAUUCCCUCAGGUAUGGCAAUUGUGA